rnacentral:tRNA from 3 species
GGAGGGUUGCCGGAGUGGUUAACGGAGCAGUUUGCUAAACUGUCGACCCGCAAGGGUCGCGUGGGUUCGAAUCCCACACCCUCCGCAA